CCCACCGUUAAAGUUUAACGACCUACUUUCAUUCCCUCCACCGCCUGCGCCUUUCUUUGAGUUCGCUCUGUUGAACCACCGGAGAGUCCCCGGCGACUAAAUUCCGCCACCAACAGCGGCAGACUAGAGAGUAGUUGAAGUCUUCGAAGGUCCUGAUAUUUCGAUGAGCGGCUCCUUCGCAUCAAGCGGCUUAAGGGCGGCAUUCUCCCACUGCGUGCAGCAAGUCCGGACCUACGAUUACCACCACUACCUCUGCCUCCUCGAACUCCCGCCAAUCAUGCGUAAGGCCGCCUUUGCCCUCCGAGCCUUCAACGUGGAGACUUCCCGAGCAAUGGACGUCGCUUCAGAUCCCAGGAUCGGCCUCAUGCGGCUCCUAUGGUGGCAGGAAGCCAUAGACAAGAUCUACGCCCGCAAGUCGAUCGAGCACCCGACGGCGCAGGCCCUCUCCUUGAUCGUAUCCGAGCUCAAGAUCUCCAAGUCGUGGCUAAAGAGGUCCGUCCAGGCUCGGGUCGACGAUGCAAGAAGAGAGCCCAAUGAGAUCCCAGAGACGAUCGAGGAGCUCGAGAAAUAUGCAGAAGACACUUUGUCGACGAUCCUCUACAUGACUCUCCAGGCAGGCGGGAUCCGAUCCACAGCAGCCGAUCAUGCGGCGUCUCACGUGGGGAAGGCGAGCGGGAUUCUCUUGCUUCUCAAGUCUCUCCCGUACCACGCUAAUAGACACCGGCACUCUUUGUACGUGCCGAGAAAAGUUGCGGAGAAGCACCAGUUAUUGGUCGAGAAGGCAGGGCAGAAGGAGAUUCGGCUCGAUUCCCGUGAGGCCCUCUGUGAGGCCGUGUUUGAGAUGGCUUCGGUGGCUAACAGUCACUUGGAGAAGGCUCGGGCGUUGGCCGGAACCGUGCCCAAGGAAGCCCUACCCGUGAUGCUCCAGUCCGUGCCAGCACAGGUCCUAUUGGAUUCAUUGAGGCGGGUACACUUUGAUGUAUUCGAUCCGAGACUAGCACGAGGGGUUCUGGGAAUUCCGCCCUUAUGGUACCAACUGAAGGUGAAGUGGACUUCGUGGACUGGUAAAUACUGAAUAUUUUGUCGAUCGGUAUUAAAGCAUGAUUUUCGAGACUGAACCGAACUCGAUUGGAAUCGGCAGCGAAUAAGGGGAUGGACACAUGAAGUUAAUCGAUCCACACCUUGAGUUAUAUCCGCCUUAUGAACACGACAAGAUCGAAUUGAUUAUAUAUAGAGGCCAGUAGCGAGGAACAACCGCCAAGUCGUGGUUGAGCUACCGCCAAGAUGGGGGCCUUUCGCAAGAUAUCACGAUGAAGUGGCCUUAUGUAGAGACCUGCUAUACAUACAUGUGGGUAGUACGAUUUACCAUGCAAUGCAAUGCAGCACAUCAUCAAAUUAUAAUAUCAUCCUUUGCAGAAUAUCAGCUUAUUCUCACAAUUAAAUGCAAACCAACCAAUUACUCUAUAAAAGUGUCAUUAUUUAUGUUA